rnacentral:rRNA from 1 species
GACGAACGCUGGCGGCGUGCCUAAUACAUGCAAGUAGAACGCUGAAGGAGGAGCUUGCUUCUCUGGAUGAGUUGCGAACGGGUGAGUAACGCGUAGGUAACCUGCCUGGUAGCGGGGGAUAACUAUUGGAAACGAUAGCUAAUACCGCAUAAGAGUAGAUGUUGCAUGACAUUUGCUUAAAAGGUGCAAUUGCAUCACUACCAGAUGGACCUGCGUCGUAUUAGCUAGUUGGUGGGGUAACGGCUCACCAAGGCGACGAUACAUAGCCGACCUGAGAGGGUGAUCGGCCACACUGGGACUGAGACACGGCCCAGACUCCUACGGGAGGCAGCAGUAGGGAAUCUUCGGCAAUGGACGGAAGUCUGACCGAGCAACGCCGCGUGAGUGAAGAAGGUUUUCGGAUCGUAAAGCUCUGUUGUAAGAGAAGAACGAGUGUGAGAGUGGAAAGUUCACACUGUGACGGUAUCUUACCAGAAAGGGACGGCUAACUACGUG